rnacentral:lncRNA from 1 species
UCUCUAUAUGGUAAGCGGGAUAUUCUUUUGCCCGCUUAUUCCACUUCUCGUUCAUAUUCUUUUUUCUUUCAAGGAUUACAUUAAUUACCAUGUGAGAAAUGAAACUAGCAGUAAUCAAGUUUUUAUGCGGAUACGGAGAUUGCUCACUUGUAUUAUCCUACACCCAGGUGGCCACCAUCAUCUUAGUCACCAAGAUCCAAGCCCUCACUAGUGAGGCGUACGCGAUAAGAGACAUGGGCAUCAGGGACGAAAACAUCAAUAACUGCGGGUCUUUCUUUGCCAUUGGCGAAACCUUUUCGGACACCACCAACUCGACGCUAUACGCGCUCGAGCGCCUCACUGCCGCCGGAGAAGGUAAACGCAGUAAGGAGGACCUGGAAACUGUGCACAA